UACAGAGGGGGCAAGCGUUGUUCGGAAUUACUGGGCGUAAAGGGCGCGUAGGCGGCCACCUAAGUCAGACGUGAAAUCCCUCGGCUCAACCGGGGAACUGCGUCUGAUACUGGGUGGCUUGAAUCCGGGAGAGGGAUGCGGAAUUCCAGGUGUAGCGGUGAAAUGCGUAGAUAUCUGGAGGAACACCGGUGGCGAAGGCGGCAUCCUGGACCGGCAUUGACGCUGAGGCGCGAAAGCCAGGGGAGCAAACGGG
rnacentral:rRNA from 1 species